rnacentral:rRNA from 1 species
AUAUCAGUCAUGCAUAGCAUAUCAAUAAGCGGAGGAAAAGAAACUAACAAGGAUUCCCUUAGUAACGGCGAGUGAAGCGGGAAGAGCUCAAAUUUGAAAUCUUCAAGGUUUUACCUUGACGAAUUGUAGUUUAAAGAAGUGUUUUCUGUUGAAGUUUUGGUAAAAGUUCUUUGGAAUAGGACAUCAUAGAGGGUGAGAAUCCCGUAUUUGACCAUUACUUUCAGCUUUGUGAUACACUUUCAAAGAGUCGGAUUGUUUGGGAAUGCAGUCCAAAAUGGGUGGUAAAUUUCAUCUAAAGCUAAAUAUUGGCGAGAGACCGAUAGCGAACAAGUACCGUGAGGGAAAGAUGAAAAGAACUUUGAAAAGAGAGUUAAACAGUACGUGAAAUUGUCAAAAGGGAAGCGUUUGACACCAGUGUUGUUUUCUCGAAAAUCAAUUAAAAAGAGUUGGAUUUUGUGUUGUAUUGACUUUAUCAGCUUUCUUCACUCUUUUCCAGCUUUUUUUAAUGCACUUUUCGUUUAACAAGUCAACAUCAGUUUCUUUUGUUGUAAAAAGGUCAUUGGAAGGUGGCUUUCUCUUCGGAGAAAGUGCUUAUAGCCUUUGACUCAUGCAAUCGGAGAGACUGAGGUCUGCAGCGUAGAUCCUUCGGGGUUAGAUACAUUUGUGCUAAGUUAUAGCUUUUCAUAGACAACUUGUUGACUAUGUUUAGUCUUGUAGCUUACUCGCUUAUGCUAUUUUACCUACGCUUAGGAUGUUGAACUCUAUCACACACAG